rnacentral:rRNA from 1 species
UACGGGGGGGGGCAAGCGUUGUUCGGAAUUACUGGGCGUAAAGGGCUCGUAGGUGGCCAACUAAGUCAGACGUGAAAAUCCCUCGGCUUAACCGGGGAACUGCGUCUGAUACUGGAUGGCUUGAGGUUGGGAGAGGGAUGCGGAAUUCCAGGUGUAGCGGUGAAAUGCGUAGAUAUCUGGAGGAACACCGGUGGCGAAGGCGGCAUCCUGGACCAAUUCUGACACUGAGGAGCGAAAGCCAGGGGAGCAAACGGG